rnacentral:rRNA from 1 species
UACGUAGGGUGCGAGCGUUGUCCGGAAUUAUUGGGUGUAAAGAGCUCGUAGGCGGUCUGUCGCGUCGGUCGUGAAAACUUGGGGCUUAACCCCGAGCUUGCGGUCGAUACGGGCAUGACUGGAGUUCGGCAGGGGAGACUGGAAUUCCUGGUGUAGCGGUGAAAUGCGCAGAUAUCAGGAGGAACACCGGUGGCGAAGGCGGGUCUCUGGGCCGAUACUGACGCUGAGGAGCGAAAGCGUGGGGAGCAAACAGG